UUUUGUAUUAACUACUAUUCAGACAAUGCCGUGUUCUAUACGUGUUCAGUUAACUAACUUGCGAGUCCUCAAACUCGAAGCUUGUUGAAAAACCAAAAAUGAUCCUUCCGCAGGUUCACCUACGGAAA
rnacentral:misc_RNA from 1 species